AUGAAGAUGUACAAUCAAC
rnacentral:miRNA from 1 species